UACGAAGGGGGCUAGCGUUGCUCGGAAUCACUGGGCGUAAAGCGCACGUAGGCGGACUCUUAAGUCGGUGGUGAAAUCCUGGAGCUCAACUCCAGAACUGCCUCCGAUACUGGGAGCCUUCGAGUCCGGGAGAGGUGAGUGGAACUGCGAGUGUAGAGGUGAAAUUCGUAGAUAUUCGCAAGAACACCAGUGGCGAAGGCGGCUCACUGGCCCGGUACUGACGCUGAGGUGCGAAAGCGUGGAGAGCAAACAGG
rnacentral:rRNA from 1 species